UACGUAGGGUGCGAGCGUUGUCCGGAAUUAUUGGGCGUAAAGAGCUUGUAGGCGGUUUGUCGCGUCUGCUGUGAAAAUCCGGGGCUCAACCCCGGACUUGCAGUGGGUACGGGCAGACUAGAGCGUGGUAGGGGAGACUGGAAUUCCUGGUGUAGCGGUGAAAUGCGCAGAGUAUCAGGAGGAACACCGAUGGCGAAGGCAGGUCUCUGGGCCACUACUGACGCUGAGAAGCGAAAGCAUGGGGAGCGAACAGG
rnacentral:rRNA from 1 species